rnacentral:rRNA from 1 species
CCUACGGGUGGCAGCAGUGAGGAAUAUUGGUCAAUGGGCGAGAGCCUGAACCAGCCAAGUCGCGUGAGGGAGUACUGCCCUAUGGGUUGUAAACCUCUUUUGUCGGGGAGCAAAAGCCGGACGUGUCCGGCUGUGAGAGUACCCCAAGAAAAAGCAUCGGCUAACUCCGUGCCAGCAGCCGCGGUAAUACGGAGGAUGCGAGCGUUAUCCGGAUUUAUUGGGUUUAAGGGGUGCGCAGGCGGAUUUUAAAGUCAGCGGUAAAAUCGUGGGGCUCAACCCCAUCCAGCCGUUGAAACUGGGGAUCUAGAGUGGGGGAGAGGUAGGCGGAAUGCGUGGUGUAGCGGUGAAAUGCAUAGAUAUCACGCAGAACACCGAUUGCGAAGGCAGCAUACCGGUGCACAACUGACGCUCAGGCACGAAAGCGUGGGUAUCGAACAGGAUUAGAUACCCCUGUAGUC